rnacentral:rRNA from 1 species
UUUGAUCCUGGCUCAGGAUGAACGCUAGCGGCAGGCUUAACACAUGCAAGUCGAGGGGUAACAGAGGUAGCUUGCUAUUUGCUGACGACCGGCGCACGGGUGCGUAACGCGUAUAGAAUCUACCUUAUACUGGGGGAUAGCCUUUGGAAACGAAGAUUAAUACCCCAUAGUAUGUAAGAGUGGCAUCAUUUUUACAUUAAAGUUUCGGCGGUAUAAGAUGACUAUGCGUUCUAUUAGUUGGUUGGUAAGGUAACGGCUUACCAAGACUUCGAUAGAUAGGGGUCCUGAGAGGGAGAUCCCCCACACUGGUACUGAGACACGGACCAGACUCCUACGGGAGGCAGCAGUGAGGAAUAUUGGACAAUGGAGGCAACUCUGAUCCAGCCAUGCCGCGUGUAGGAAGACUGCCCUAUGGGUUGUAAACUACUUUUAUAUGGGAAGAAUAAGGUCUACGUGUAGACUGAUGACGGUACCAUAAGAAUAAGCACCGGCUAACUCCGUGCCAGCAGCCGCGGUAAUA